UUUAUGGAGAGUUUGAUCCUGGCUCAGGAUGAACGCUGGCGGCGUGCCUAAUACAUGCAAGUCGAGCGAACGGACGAGAAGCUUGCUUCUCUGAUGUUAGCGGCGGACGGGUGAGUAACACGUGGAUAACCUACCUAUAAGACUGGGAUAACUUCGGGAAACCGGAGCUAAUACCGGAUAAUAUUUUGAACCGCAUGGUUCAAAAGUGAAAGACGGUCUUGCUGUCACUUAUAGAUGGAUCCGCGCUGCAUUAGCUAGUUGGUAAGGUAACGGCUUACCAAGGUAACGAUGCAUAGCCGACCUGAGAGGGUGAUCGGCCACACUGGAACUGAGACACGGUCCAGACUCCUACGGGAGGCAGCAGUAGGGAAUCUUCCGCAAUGGGCGAAAGCCUGACGGAGCAACGCCGCGUGAGUGAUGAAGGUCUUCGGAUCGUAAAACUCUGUUAUUAGGGAAGAACAUAUGUGUAAGUAACUGUGCACAUCUUGACGGUACCUAAUCAGAAAGCCACGGCUAACUACGUGCCAGCAGCCGCGGUAAUAC
rnacentral:rRNA from 1 species